rnacentral:misc_RNA from 1 species
UUCUAAGCCAAUCAAGAGCUUGAAACAUUGCUUGGAAAGAAGAUUCAUCUUACACAAGCAUGCAUAUAGAUUAAAGCAUACAAGACCAAAAUUUCAAGUAAUAAAAACACAUAUCUAAACAACUGAAACACUGGCAAUUAAGAAUAAAUUACAACACAAUUAAAUUUCACAACAAUCCUAACUUCUCCCAAGAAUACCCAAAAUAUCAUAACCUUUUCAAACAUCAAAACAAGCUUAACAGAAUUUACACAUCAUUGUUUCUGUUCAAAAGUUCAUCCCCGUCCCUCCACCACAACCUCCCCCACUCCCCCUCCCUUUUUCCCUUAUUGAUAUAAGAGCUUGUUUGCCAGAAUUUUACACUUCAUUUUUGGUGUUCAAAUCCCCUGAGGACAAAGAAUGAUAAUAUUUGAGCUAGAUAUACAUUGCAUUCCAGUAGGACAAACCUUAGUGUUAUAGCUUGUAGUGGAAGACAUCAAUCGAUUUAUCAAUCAAAUUAGACUUGAGAAUGAUGAUGUCAAUAUGUAGGGCACAUUGGCUAGAGGACCACGUUCUUGGGCAAGCUUGUGAAUGUCUUUUACAAUGUUGAACACUGCCUCUGGUUGGGCUAGCUUAAGUGCAUUCUCUGACAUCCUCUUGAGUUCAUCCGACUUCGUGCUAAACCAUUCAGUCACAAUUCUUGCAGUUUCUUUAGGACUUCUGGUGAACACACCAGCGCCAUUGUCUACUACAUAAGGCACAUUGCCCUUUUCUUGCCCAGGAAUGUAAUCAUUGAGAAUAAUAGGAAGGCCUCUAAUCAAUGCCUCUGCAAUUGUACCAGGUCCGGCUUUUGUGAUUAUGCAGUCACAAGCUGCCAUCCAUUUCUCCAUCUGCGUCUCGAAUCCUCUAACCUUCACUGGGAUCUUCCAAUCCAGAGAUUCCAAUGUAGACUUGAGAACCUUAUUUCGCCCACAUAUAAUAAUUAAUUGCCCAAUUGGCCUAUCAAACUUCUUAUCACGAAGUGAUUCUCCUAGAGCCUCUGCAGUUUUCCUAACGGGACCCAUACCUUCACCACCUCCCAUUAGCAAAACCGCAGGCAAAUGAGGAUCCAUCUGGAGCUCUUCCCUUAGUUCAUCCUUUGAAAGAACUGCACGGGCAAAAGAAGGCCGGAUGGGCAAGCCAAAAACACAGAUUUGAGAAUCUUCUAGGCCAUCGAGUGCAGCUCUCUUGGCUACCCCCUUUGAAGGGCAGUAACAUCUAUUGACUCCAGGAUGAAACCAUGUAGGAUGACAGGUAUUGAGGUCUGUAAUCACUGUAACGAAAAUCACUUUCUUUUGCAGGCCUUGCCAUUUAAGAACCCAUAAAGGAAUAUGCUGCAUCAUUGGAUGAACGCUAAUGAUAAUGUCUGGUUUGUACUCCAUUAGACCUGCCUCCACGUCCUUGGCGUAGUAGGCAGCCAUGAAUGCAAGGUAGCAACCGUGAAUCCAUCUCGGAGAGGUACUAUGAAAUGCAACCUUCCAUAGCUGUAAAUGUUUCAACAUGAAUUUGUAUUGUCUUUCCAUGUCAUUCAAUGGCCACCCUGUGUACUCUUUCCACACAUCCUUCACAGUUACACUGUAUUCAUCGCCAUACUCCAUCUUGAAGGCAUCACGAAUGGCUUCAGCAGAAGCACGAUGGCCACCUCCAGUGUCACUCAUGAGGAUCAACACAUUCUUGGUUCUUUCAGCGCCAAUCUGGACCAGCUCCAUAGUCCCAUCUUCUUGCUCAAAAUCAUCCUCAGUCUCGUGAAUCAAAUAUUUCUUGGGUUGAUGAUGAUGGUGGUUGUUGUUACUAUACCCGCUACUACUAUUGGCGCUAAAAUUCCCAUAAACUCUCUGCAAAACCUCCGUCAUCGACGCCUUCCUCGGAGACGCCACUUUCGUCACCAUUUCCGAGCAAAAAAAACAAACCAACCAACCAAACUAACGGAGCCAACUAACGUUCAAACAAAGAAAAUAAUAAUAACAAUAAUAAUUAUAAGGAAAGAAGAAAGAAAGAAACCCAGGUGGUUCCAACGGUCAAAUUUCCGUUCCCGCCACCAGAAUAUGGGAUUCUCCGGCGGAGAAGGAGAGGGAGAGGGAGAGGGAAUUUGGAAUUGUUAAUGUUUAGGAUGGCGUGUUUAAGAUUUGUGUGUGUGAGUUGGCAAUGUAAUG